AUUGAACGCUGGCGGCAGGCUUAACACAUGCAAGUCGAGCGGGGUGAUGGUGCUUGCACUAUCACUUAGCGGCGGACGGGUGAGUAAUGCUUAGGAAUCUGCCUAUUAGUGGGGGACAACAUCUCGAAAGGGAUGCUAAUACCGCAUACGUCCUACGGGAGAAAGCAGGGGAUCACUUGUGACCUUGCGCUAAUAGAUGAGCCUAAGUCGGAUUAGCUAGUUGGUGGGGUAAAGGCCUACCAAGGCGACGAUCUGUAGCGGGUCUGAGAGGAUGAUCCGCCACACUGGGACUGAGACACGGCCCAGACUCCUACGGGAGGCAGCAGUGGGGAAUAUUGGACAAUGGGGGGAACCCUGAUCCAGCCAUGCCGCGUGUGUGAAGAAGGCCUUAUGGUUGUAAAGCACUUUAAGCGAGGAGGAGGCUCUUUUGGUUAAUACCCAAGAUGAGUGGACGUUACUCGCAGAAUAAGCACCGGCUAACUCUGUGCCAGCCGCAGUAAUAC
rnacentral:rRNA from 1 species